GACUACAGGGGUAUCUAAGCCCGUUUGCUACCCUAGCUUUCGCGUCUGAGUGUCAGUAUUGGUCUAGAAGACCGCUUUCGCCACUGGUGUUCCUCCAGAUAUCUGCGCAUUUUACCGCUACACCUGGAAUUCCAUCUUCCUCUACCAAACUCGAGUUCUGCAGUUUAGAACGGCCUCUCCCAGUUGAGCCAGGAGCUUUCACGCCCUACUUACAGUACCACCUACACGCGCUUUACGCCCAGUAAAUCCGGAUAACGUUUGCCUCCUACGUGUUACCGCGGCUGCUGGCACGUAGUUAGCCGAGACUUAUUCUGAGAGUACCGUCCUUCCUCAUCCUCUCAAAAAGUGCUUUACAACCCGAAGGCCUUCUUCGCACACGCGGUAUCGCUAGUUCAGAGUUUCCUCCAUUACUAAUAUUCCCUACUGCAGCCCCCCGUAGG
rnacentral:rRNA from 1 species